UGGGCUGGGGUGGGUGAGGCAGCCCAAUUAUGCCUGGCUUUGCUUCCAAGCUCUAUAAUCGGAUUCAGGUGCUUCCAAAAGCUCCUGCCUCUUCCGAGCAAAUUCAGUUAAGGGCAGGGGGAGGGCGCGCUAAUGGUUUCCACAUUGGGGGCCUCUGCAGAGAGGCCUCUCAAGAGUGGGGGCAAGGAAUCUGACCUUGCCUCCAAGUAGAGUCGUGCUGGAAGGAAUGCAAAUGUGUUCAUUAAGCACCUCUUAUGAGUGAGGGUCUUAGGUCUUGCAGGCUGGACACUGAGAAUAUGAUAAACAAGCAAUCACAGAUGUAGCCUGCCCGGAGCUUACAGCUGGUGGGAGAGACAGAAAAUGGACCAGAAAAUUACAAUACAGACUGAAGAAGCCUGCAGGUACUGUGGAGCACAGAGAAGGCCACCUACCCAGAUUCAGGGGAACAGUUGGCUCCCUGUUGAAUGGCUGAAGAGGAGUUCACUGGGGAAUCUGAGGGUUCUGGGAGCAGAAAAACAGCCCAGGAGAACAUGAGUUGGGGGAGGUGUAGAGCUGGCCAGAGCAUCGGUGGAAUAGCACAGAGUGUAAAGAGAAGUCCAGAGGUUUUCAACCUGGGUUUGAACUCCUUCAGUGAGGGAAGGCAGUAGUGGCAGUCUGGAGAGAGUCUGGAUGGGCAGCUGGCCUGGACACAAGCUUUCUUGAAGUUUCGGAAACCCCUGGACCUGAGUGACGAUAAGGACACGUCUAAGUUUGCAUAACUAGAAGAAGUGGUGCCUAGCAUAUAGAGCCUUAGUCAGCUCAGGCUACUAUCACAAAAUGCCAAAGACUGGAUGGCUUAAACAACAGACAUCUAUUUCUCAUGGUGCUGGAGGCUUGGAAGUCUGACAUCGGGGUGUCUGUCUACAUGGUCAGGUCUGAGAGCUGUGAAGAACACCAUCUAUUGGAUAGAACUCAUUCUGAACAAUCUCCAGCAAAGACUAAGUCUUCAAUACAUCAUUGGAUGCACGCAUGCAUUUUCUCGAAUAAAUGAGUGUCUAGCACAAAGAAUCCCAGGGAUGGGGGAGCCUGGUGGGCUGCCGUCUAUGGGGUCGCACAGAAUCAGACACGACUGACGCGACUUAGCAGCAGCAGCAGCAGCACAAAGGUCAGUGUAUUAAUAGGUAGAUACUAGGUGACCUCAUAGGAUCAGACUGUCUGCAUUAAACUAAUAAACUAAUUUUGGUUGAGGUGUCUAUAGCUGCUAACAUUUGAAACUAGUGUCCUUGAAGGUAAGAUUGCCAUUUUAACUGCAACUUUAUAAUAGACAGAAGUAGGCUUUUUUCCCUACCAUGGGACCCAAAGAAAAGUUCCUUUAGAUAUGACCAGGAGGGGUAGAGGGAAGAACAGCCAGUGCUGAGAAGGCAGGGGAGAGCUGGGGUGCAGAGGCAGCAGAGGAAGGUGGGGAGAGAUGGAUUCAAGACCCAGUAAGCUCCCUGCCCACAGGUUUGUUUGUUUUCAGUGCUCACUGCCCAGAGCCUAGGACCACCCAGGGCACAUCAUGGGCGCUUAGUAACUGUUAAAAAAAAAAAAAAAAAGUAUGAGAAUGAAAAAUAAAGAGAGGCAAGGAGAACAAAUCGGGCAGGAAGAGAGAAAAAGAGAGACAGAGCUCCAACAAAGACAGAGAAGACAGCCAGAGGGGCCUGAGGCGGCUGGCGGCCGGGGGCAGAGGGAGGGACUCUGCUGGCUGAAGCCCAAGGACUCGGCUCGGGGGCGGGGGGACCCCAGCGGGAGGGGCGGUGGCCUGGCUGCGGUGAAGAGAGCACACCCCGAGCGCAGGAGCGCAGCGCCUGCGCCCAGGGCUCCAGACAGCCCAGCCUGGAGAGGGCCGUGGCCGUCAGAAGGUCACGGCCGCGCCGCGGGACUUUCCUGGGGUGGGGGUGGAGGACCUGCGAACAACGCUGGCCUUUAACUUCCCAGGUCAGACCACCCCGCGCUGCCUCCGGCGCAGGGAACCCACCCUGAGCUAGCCUGCCCGCGGGGACCUGUCCUCUGGCCUGACUUUUUAAAGUCCCUCCCUGCCUUCAAAGCUCUGAGUCCCUCCUUUCCCCUAGCCGGAGGCUUCUCACACUUGAGUGCAUCAGAAUCACUGCGAGGCUUUGUUCAUUUAUUUAAUUGAACAGUUUAAUUAAGUCGAUGAUUAUUGUUGCCGCUCCACCCCACCCUCCUGUUUCUGACUGAUGGGUUUAGGUUGGAGCCAUAGGCUAUGUGUUUCUUUUAAGUUCCCAGGUGAUGUUGAUAUAUCUGGUCCCCGUACCCAGGCUUGUAAACCACUGCCCAGUAUGGGAUAACUGUCUCCCUUCUUUUCCUCCUUGAUCCACCAAGUACCUUGUUCAGCCUCCCACAGAGUCCGGAACCCCUGACAGCUAAGGAAACAGGCAAGGGAGGAGGGAAUCUGCGGCGCUUGGGCAAAGCCGGGAGGGUACCAGGAAUCCCAGCUCCCAGCCCCCGAAGCUGUCUGGUAGCAGCAGCCGUUUCUCUAGCCUUUCGCGGGUAGAACUGGGAUCCAGAACAGGGCAGAACCCUGAGGAGUAAAAGCUGAGUGGAAAGCAAUGUUAAUCAAGCCCACCUCCAGGAAAGGCAGAAAAAAGUCCUUUUCUUCAGGAGAGGAGAGUGCAUGGAGGAUUCCUAUUCAACGAUCAGUAGUGCACUAAUCAGUGCCACUCACACUCCAAACCUGUUCGUCAAGCAGCUACUCUAUGCCAGAUACCAGCUGGGGAUUGGGGAUAAUGAGGGAAAUAAAACUGGGGUCAAUGUCUUAGGGAGAAUGCUUUCUAGUAGGCAGAUUAACAAUAAACUUAGGAAAGUAGUAUGCUAGAAAUAAAUUAUAAAUCCUAUGGGGGGAAAAACCAAGUAAGGUAAGGAGGUGCCACUGAGUACAAUUUUAAACAAGAUGGUCAAGGUAGGCCUUGUUGGGAAGGGUUAAGGUAGUCAACCAUGUGAUACCAGAGAGGAGAGUUUUCAGGUAAGGGGAACAGCUGGAGCAAAAGUCCUGAGGUAGGAGCACGCCUAGCAUAUCCGAGGCCCCACAGAGAGAUGAGUGUAACUGGGUGGGGCGGGGUAUGGAAAGAGCUGAGUAGGAGAUUGAGGACAGAGAGGUAAGGGGCAGGCAGGAAGGUGUUAUAGGGUGGGGGUGGAGCGACCAUUCAUAGGGUUUGACUUUUACCCUAAAAUGUCCCUCCAUUUUUCUUUACUUUUUUGUCCUGUUCUUGUCUCUUGCAUCUACAAUACCAAGUUUAAGAAUAGUGUUAAUCUGGCUCACAGCUGGAACUGGUUCUGAGAGACAAUUUUCAGUAGGUUAGUCAAGCCAUCCAUCUCAGAUAGUUAAUACAGGCUGUAAUUACUUUUUCUAACCUGCAGGACAGACGGCGAGCUGUUUACAUUUGCCUCAGCAUCCUUCUUUCUCUUUUCCCAUCAUUCUCCAUGCCUCCUCCAGGCUCUAGUUUCCCUGAUGCCCCUGCUCCCUGACACGCCCCAGGCUUCUACAGCAGCACUGUCCAAUCAAAAUAGAAUAUCAGCUGCACAUGUUAUUUAAAAUUUUCUGGUGGCCACAUUAAAACAAAAGUAAAAAGAAAUAGGCAAAAUUAGUUCUACUAAUAGAUUUGAUUUAACCCAUUAUAGCCAAAAUAGCAUCUUGUCAACAUGUAAUCAAUACAAAAAUCAAUGAGAUAUUUUACUUUAUUUUUUCCUAUACUGUCUUUGAAACCCAGAAUGUAUUUUACACUCAUACCACACCUCAAUUCAGCCUAGCCUCAUUUCAAGUACUCUAAAGCUUCAUGUGGCUAGUGAAUACAUGGAUCUCACCACCCUAGACUCAAAUUCCUGAUCUUCCUUCCCCUCCUCAACAAAAUUAACUCUUCCUGUUUCUAGAAUAUGCUGACACUUCCUUCAGGAAGCCUUCACUGAUUUCUUCACCUCCCUCACUGGCAUGUAAGAAAUAAAUGAGUAAAACUGUAUGGAUAUAUGGUACUCAGAAUAAUCCCUGGCACAAAAUAAGUUUAAUUGAGGUGUUAGCUAUCAUUAUUAUAGUAUUUACUGCCAUUGUAAUAACCUGAUUGUUGUGUAAUUCUUAUAUAAGAAUUAUAUAUUUAAUUUCCUGCUUUCC